CUGAGUAGCUGAGAUUACGGGCAUGCACCACCACGCCUGGGAAUCAAAUCUGCAUCGUGGUCUGAGGGCUCUCCUGGGCUCCUCUCACACCUGCCCCACUUUCCCUCACAGAUACAGCAAGAAAGCAGGCAUCUGCAAGAAAGCCCUCACGAGGACUAAAUCAGUUGACACCUCCACCUUGGACUUCCCAGCUUCCAGAACUGUGAGAUAUAGAUUUCUAUUGCUUAAGUCACCAAGGCUAAGGUGUUUUUAAUAGCAGCCCAAACCCAGGAAUAUAUCAUCUGACUCACUGUUUUGAAUGAAACUCUUCAGUUUCUCCAUCAACUUAGCUGGCAGCUCCUGUCCCCAGCAGCAUCAGAAGCCCCAAGAAAAGAGCUCCAGGAGGGGCUCAACCUGCACGGGGGGCAGCCUCAAUGUCAGGUCCUGGAUGGCAUGUGAGGCCUCAGUGACACAACCACCAAUGUGAAAGUGUAAGAGUUUCUAACUACUUACAGAUACUGGAAAGCACAGGGCACACUUGGAGACCAUGGACACCGGGGUUGGAGAGCCUAGGCAGGGAGGAGAGAAGGGAACUGUAGGCCAAUGGCUUUAUUGGGUCCAGGGUGUUGUUGAUAGGUUUCCAGAUGGGAGCUUUGAUGGGUGUGUUUAAAGAAGCAAACACUGGGGCAAGAAGAUCACGCUGUGGCUGAGAGGUGGUCACUUUAAAUUGGAGGGCAAAUGUCAGAACUGUUUCAGUUUAAAGGAAGCAGCUGGAGAGAGGGGAGCCCAGCACACUAUGCAGGAGAGAAGCCUCUAAGAUUUUAUCUCUGGCCACCAACUGGAGCCAUUUGGACCGGGCACAGUAAUGGAAACUCUGUGAUAGUGACAAAUACGGGAAUCACUCUGAUGUGUUGCAGUUAAAUUUACACCUUAAAAAAUGGAUGCCAAGACAACAUAAGACCCAGGGACACCAACAGGGUAUGGUGUUGUGCCCCAAAGUCAGGGUCCUGGGUUCUUAUCCAAGUGAGAAAUAAAGAUAACUUUUCCCUGCUCCCUCUCUCCUCCCCUGACACUGAUCUUCCCACCCUGCACCUCCCUCUUCUGCUCCCAAACCCUCACCCAGUGCUCAGUCCCAGAUAUCACUGCCCCCAGGGCAUGUGCAGUGCAGCCCACUGCACAUAAACACAAACUCACAGAAGGUGAUGACAAUUUGUGUUUGGGACAUCUGAUUGUGAAAAAGGGAGGACAGCCUACUUGCAGCCACAGAGACUGAAACUGGAACGUGCUGGAACAUGCGAUGUUUGGUUUUCUGUUUCUGUGUUAGUUUGCUGAGAAUAAUGAUUUCAAGCUUCAUCCAUG